ACAAAUGUACAAUGAUAUGACUGUGGUACCGGUAAAGCCGCAAGCCUCGGCCAACAGGAAGGUGCUCCAGGACAUGAGGAAAAACAGUGCCGUCUCCAGCAAGGCCAUUCCUCCUCGCCCUCGGGCCGCACAAUUCGAGCCCCCCGCCUACUCUGCUUCUCCAAGCGGAGAACAACACUGCAUGCAUACGUACGGUGGGGUGUCAAGAAAACUUACGAUGAGAGGACGAUGGCCACGGCAUCAUUGAGCACGCUCUCCCCAAAAAGUAAAGCAUACAGGUCCAC